GACGAACGCUGGCGGCGUGCUUAACACAUGCAAGUCGAACGGAAAGGCCUUUUCGGAGGUACUCGAGUGGCGAACGGGUGAGUAACACGUGGGUGAUCUGCCCUGCACUCUGGGAUAAGCCUGGGAAACUGGGUCUAAUACCGGAUAGGACCGCACUUUAGUGUGUGUGGUGGAAAGUUUUUUCGGUGUAGGAUGAGCCCGCGGCCCAUCAGCUUGUUGGUGGGGUAAUGGCCUACCAAGGCGGCGACGGGUAGCCGGACUGAGAGGUUGGUCGGCCACAUUGGGACUGAGAGACGGCCCAGACUCCUACGGGAGGCAGCAGUGGGGAAUAUUGCACAAUGGGCGCAAGCCUGAUGCAGCGACGCCGCGGGGGGGAUGACGGCCUUCGGGUUGUAAACUCCUUUCGCCAGGGACGAAGCGUUUUGUGACGGUACCUGGAGAAGAAGCACCGGCUAACUACGUG
rnacentral:rRNA from 1 species